rnacentral:snRNA from 1 species
CAUCUGUCACCUCAGCGAGCGCCAGGGUCGGCUCGGCUGAUCUGGCUUGCAAGGCGGGUG